GAUGAACGCUGGCGGCGUGCCUAAUACAUGCAAGUCGAGCGAACAGACGAGGAGCUUGCUCCUCUGACGUUAGCGGCGGACGGGUGAGUAACACGUGGAUAACCUACCUAUAAGACUGGGAUAACUUCGGGAAACCGGAGCUAAUACCGGAUAAUAUAUUGAACCGCAUGGUUCAAUAGUGAAAGACGGUUUUGCUGUCACUUAUAGAUGGAUCCGCGCCGCAUUAGCUAGUUGGUAAGGUAACGGCUUACCAAGGCAACGAUGCGUAGCCGACCUGAGAGGGUGAUCGCCCACCCUGGAACUGAGACACGGUCCAGACUCCUACGGGAGGCAGCAGUAGGGAAUCUUCCGCAAUGGGCGAAAGCCUGACGGAGCAACGCCGCGUGAGUGAUGAAGGUCCUCGGAUCGUAAAACUCUGUUAUUAGGGAAGAACAAAUGUGUAAGUAACUAUGCACGUCUUGACGGUACCUAAUCAGAAAGCCACGGCUAACUACGUG
rnacentral:rRNA from 1 species